rnacentral:rRNA from 1 species
CCUACGGGAGGCAGCAGUGGGGGAUAUUGCACAAUGGAGGCAACUCUGAUGCAGCGACGCCGCGUGAGGGAAGACGGUCUUCGGAUUGUAAACCUCUGUCUUUGGGGAAGAAAAUGACGGUACCCAAAGACUAAGCUCCGGCAAACUACGUGCCAGCAGCCGCGGUCAUACGUAGGGAGCGAGCGUUUUCCGGAAUUACUGGGUGUAACGGGAGCGUAGGCGGGCGAGAAAGUUGAAGGUUAAGUCUACCGGCUUAACUGGUAGCUGCGUUCAAAACUUGGUGUCUUGAGUGAAGUAGAGGCAGGCGGAAUUCCUAGUGUAGCGGUGAAAUGCGUAGAUAUUAGGAGGAACACCAGAGGCGAAGGCAGCCUGCUGGGCUUUAACUGACGCUGAGGCUCGAAAGCGUGGGGAGCAAACAGGAUUAGAUACCCCGGUAGUC